rnacentral:lncRNA from 1 species
AGGAGGGUAAUCCACAACCUCUAAAGUGCUAGUACACUUCCAAGCAGAGGGGUAAUCCACACUCUAACAAAGAAGAAACUAGCUCUGAUAUCUGAGGUGAGUGAAGUCUCGACAAACUCUCACGGACACAGAAUACAGACUUGAUAUCUACCAAGAAGUUCAAGAAGAAUUGGCAAGAACUAGAUUAAUCAGAUGAAUACAAGAACAACACCAAAGAGGUGAGCUAGAGCUCCAAGAGA